CCACCCCGACCCCCCCCAAGGAGGCAGCCCCCACCCCCACCACGGUCGCCCUUUUACCUGGAAUCCUUGGAGGCCAAACGGAGCCGGGGCCGCUCGGAGCGCCUGGAGCGGCUGCUGCGCCUCAACGAGCUCCGCUGCGGCCUCGGCCCCAUCUACGGCACCGAGGUGUUGGGGGCCUGCACCCUGACCCCCAACCCGCCCCCCCCGGGGGGGGCCCUGGCCCGCGCCCAGCUCAGCCCCCCCGAGCGCCUGCAGCAGCUCCAGCCCCUGCUCGACAGGUUCAUCUUCGUGCUGCCCCCAGUGCAAGCUCGGGGCCUGUCCCUGCACAGCGCCCGCCCCCCGCCAUGGCGGCUGCGCCAAUGGGCGCUGCUGGAGCAGCGGCUGUGCCAGGAGCUGGCCCUAAACGGGGGGGACCCC